rnacentral:rRNA from 1 species
UACGGGGGGGGGCAAGCGUUGUUCGGAAUUACUGGGCGUAAAGGGCUCGUAGGCGGCCAACUAAGUCAGACGUGAAAUCCCUCGGCUUAACCGGGGAACUGCGUCUGAUACUGGAUGGCUUGAGUUUGGGAGAGGGAUGCGGAAUUCCAGGUGUAGCGGUGAAAUGCGUAGAGAUGCGGAGGAACACCAGUGGCGAAAGCGGCUUUCUGGUCCUUAACUGACGCUGAGGCGCGAAAGCAUGGGGAGCGAACGGG